UACGUAGGGUGCGAGCGUUUAAUCGGAAUUACUGGGCGUAAAGCGUGCGCAGGCGGUCUGUUAAGACCGAUGUGAAAUCCCCGGGCUUAACCUGGGAACUGCAUCUGUGACUGCAUCGCUGGAGUGCGGCAGAGGGGGAUGGAAUUCCGGCGUGUAGCAGUGAAAUGCGUAGAUAUCAGGAAGAACACCCGUGGCGAAAGCGGCUCUCUGGAAACGGGUACUGACGCUGAGACGCGAAAGCGUGGGGGAGCGAACAGG
rnacentral:rRNA from 1 species